CCUUUCUGUCCCCUUAAAACGCUCACCUUUACUCCCUUGUCGACCCAUUCACUCGGCAAGUUCAAAUCCACAAACCUGCACAAGGAAAGAAAAGCCUCCACUCAUUCAUUCAGAAAGCCUGCCCCAUGAUGAAAGUUUUUGCUCUUAUCCUGGCUCUUACCCUGGUCACCUGGGCUGCCCCAAAUGAAAAAUUGGCUCCAAAAUGUGGCUCUAAUGGCGAAAAAUGUCCUGGGUACUGCGCCCAUAUGAAUGCAGCCUGUCAACGCGGUGGAGGGAGUUUCAUCUCAUGUUUAGAAUUCCCGAUGGAAUCAGCGACUUGCUCAAAUCCGAAGGACGGACAAUUUGACGGCGAAUGUGGAUUUAUUGGCUGUAGCGUCGACAUUAUUUGGGACGUGCAUCGGUGCAAUUGUUUCCUUACAGUUAAGCCUUAGAGUAAUUUUAAUAAAUAUAUAGAAUAUAAAUCUGAUUACUUAUUAUCACUUAUUAAAUAUGUAUGGAUGCCUCAUUGGUUCAUUAAAUAGAUCCUAUUCAUCAACAAAUGCUAUACAAUGUGUUCCCUAAGAAAUUG